ACCCUCUCAGGAUCGCACCUGGAGAGUUUCCAGGACUCUACCAGUCUCGGCUAUGGGAAGGGAGAGUCAAGCAGAGGCAAACCCAUUCCAUUCCUAGCUCAAGCAGUGGCGAGUGAGUGGAAGGCAAUCUGCUACAAGU